CAGAACGAACGCUGGCGGCAUGCCUAACACAUGCAAGUCGAACGAGGACCUUCGGGUCGUAGUGGCGCACGGGUGCGUAACACGUGGGAAUUUGCCUCGGGAUAUGGAAUAACUCAGGGAAACUUGAGCUAAUACCAUAUAAUGUCUUCGGACCAAAGAUUUAUCGCCCUGAGAUAAGCCCGCGUAGGAUUAGCUAGUUGGUGGGGUAAAGGCUCACCAAGGCGACGAUCCUUAGCUGGUCUGAGAGGAUGAUCAGCCACACUGGGACUGAGACACGGCCCAGACUCCUACGGGAGGCAGCAGUGGGGAAUAUUGGACAAUGGGCGAAAGCCUGAUCCAGCAAUGCCGCGUGAGUGAUGAAGGCCUUCGGGUUGUAAAGCUCUUUUACUCGGGACGAUAAUGACGGUACCGAGAGAAUAAGCCCCGGCUAACUCCGUG
rnacentral:rRNA from 1 species